UGCGUUGGCCUAGGGGGCAUUAAUUGGCCCGCACCCCGCCCGCCUUCGAAGAGGUCCGCGCGACUCUGCGUCUGCGCCCGCGACUGCGUAGCGGUGGGCACCGCCGAGGGCCCCGACGACGGCACCUCCUCCUCAUCCUCAUCCCGGACGCGAUGCGCCAGUUUGGCAGGGGGUUGGUAGUAGGUAGGGGCCGGGGCGUGGGUCUGGGUCGUGUCGUGCGUGUUCUUUUUGAGGAGGUGGAGGAGGCGGGGCGGCAGGGGGCGGGGGGCGAAUUUUGGAGCUGAGGCUGGCCGGCUUGGGUGACGGGGGCGUGUCGGCGGCGUGGGGCUCAGUGCGAUGGUCUAGUAGGUGGCACGGUGCGGUGUGUCGCUGGUAGCAGCAGGUGAGGGGCCUGAGCUAGCUAGCUAGACGAUCUGGCGGCCGCCGCUGCACGCUCGACUCACGUCUGAUCAUGGCUCGUGCCCUGGGCUAGCCGGCCCUACCUCUUCUUCCACGGCGACGGCGACCGAGUGCGCGUGCGCGUGCCCCUCCCCGACACCCGCGCCGGGACCGCGACCCGGUUCUGCCGGAAGAAGGAGCAGAGGUACGAGCGGAGCGACGAGGAGCAGACGCGCGGCGGCGAGGAGUAGCAGGAGGAGCUGGACGAGGAGGGCGGGCGCGAGGAGAGGUUGAAGGAGGCGCGGAGGAGGCGCGUGUGGGAGGAGCUGGUCCGGUCCCCGAAGGUGAAGGCGAGGAGGGAGCAGCUGGAGGGGCGGCAGAGGCGGCGGGCGAGGGAGGAGUAGGAGACGCGCAUGUGCCGCACGCCGCCGCCGCGCCGGAUGGACACCCACCGCCGCCGGACGUCGCAGCCGAGGGAGAAGAUGCAGGAGCGGUUCCGGCAGCGCCAGAAGCCGCACCGGCGGCUGCCGCGGCGGCCGGAGCUCGACGUGCCGUUCCCGGUCGAGGAGCGGCACCUCCGGUACAAGGAGUACAGCGAGCGCGAGCGGCGGCGCGUGGAGCGGUACCGGAUGGCCCGGUCGUCGGCGCUCUUCGCGGCCGAGGUGCAGCAGAUGUCUUAGCUGUAGCUUCGUCACUCCAAUUUCCCUUGGGUGUGCGGGUUCAGCGACUUCGUUACGUAGCAUACUGUGGGUUGGGCAGCAGGCCAGCCUACCCUUACCCCUAAGGCCUCUCCGCUGCCGUCCUGAAAGAGGCGAAGGAGGAGGCCAGAGUUUAAAACCGAGCUCGUCAUCAUCAAACACAUGUGAGGCUAACUAGCUAGCCAGCUGUGCUGCGCGGUACACAUAUACAAAUGGGCGUGGUUGCAGAGAGAGAGGGUUCACCUGUAUCACACCUACCUCGAGUCGACAUUUAUACCACCCUGUAAACACGAAGCCGGAGGACGUUGUAUCCUACUCGGCACGCCGUCUACAGCUAACGACAAAAAAACUCACUUAUCGUUUUUUGAUGGUGUAAUGCCCGAUAGCAAGGCUUUUUGAUGGCGAAAAAAAAUUAAAAAAUUUUUUGAUGGUGUUUUCACCGACCGACAAGGUUUUUUGGGUUCACCGGCUUACCAAUUCAAAAUUUACCCCAAUACUGUAUACCCCGAACGGGCAGUCACAAAACAGCCGGUAUCACGAGUGCCGUGCGCCCACUGCCGGCAAUCCCGCGUGCCCGGCAGGGCUGGUCCACUUUUGCCUAGGCCGGGAGUGAGACAGAGGGAGCGCGAGUGAGUGACAGUGAGAGGGGAGAGUGAGAGUGAAAAGGGGGAGCGAGACAAAAGGCACCGACUCGAGAGGUAGCAGCAGCUGGUGGAGUCAAGGAGCAGCGGCCGGUCCUACGGAAGAACCUUACUACCCCUACUCUCGAGGCUGCUGUCGUACCCCCCGUUGGCCUACCUGUACCUCAUGAAACUGUGUGGACUGUGGUAGGGACUCGGUGAGACCACACCACGAGGGUACCUCCUUCAAAGGUUCACAUGAGACGUGCUAUACUUCGGAUCCUUCACACAACGAAAACUUCCACGAUUGUGACCCUCCUCCAAGAUACCUACGGGACAAGUACCUCCACACUUAACACCACAUCAAGUCAUCCAACUAGGACGGACCGGACCACAUGAAUUCUUGACGGAGUAGUUCAACACCCUUUACAAGGUAAUCGUUUUGGAACCUUCCUAAGUUCUGUUCGUACGUAUACUCCUACUCCAACGGUUCAACUUCUUCCUGAUACUAGUAGAGACGUGGUUCAUAGUAUUUUACCAACUACUAUAAUCGUUCUACAAACUGACCGUCCUACCACAACCGUUCUAACUGAUGGUUUUUCGUUACCUACGGCUCUUUAAACUCUUCGUCUUCCUUCUCGAUCUCGACCUCUACUUCUACCUCUUCGAUUCCGAUCGUUUUCUUGUCUCCACAUAGGAAGUCCGGGUCCGUCUGUAUUAAGUGUUGUGGUCUUUCCGUUACUUUCUCUAUUUCCACCUGUCCCUAGAAGAACGUGUUCUCUUCUGUCUCGAACUCUUUCAUCAACGACUAGACGACUUACGACCGGUACCCUCGUUCCUUUUCGAACUCUUUUAGUUCCGGUAUGACCUCCGAACUUCUAAACCUGUUACCACCAAUUCAUUC
rnacentral:rRNA from 1 species